CAGUAGCCGCGGGAAUACGAAGGGGGCUAGCGUUGCUCGGAAUUACUGGGCGUAAAGGGCGCGUAGGCGGACAGUUCAGUCGGGGGUGAAAGCCCGGGGCUCAACCUCGGAAUUGCCUUCGAUACUGGCUGUCUUGAGUAUGAGAGAGGUGUGUGGAACUCCGAGUGUAGAGGUGAAAUUCGUAGAUAUUCGGAAGAACACCAGUGGCGAAGGCGACACACUGGCUCAUUACUGACGCUGAGGCGCGAAAGCGUGGGGAGCAAACAGGAUUAGAUACCCGGGUAGUCCCUGUCUCUUAUAC
rnacentral:rRNA from 1 species